rnacentral:misc_RNA from 1 species
GAUGAAGAACGUAGCGAAAUGCGAUACGUAGUGUGAAUUGCAGAAUUCAGUGAAUCAUCGAAUCUUUGAACGCACAUUGCGGCCAUAGGUAUUCCUUUGGCCAUGCCUGUUCGAGCGUCAUUUACACCCUCAAGCCUAGCUUGGUGUUGGGCGUCUGUCCCGCCGUUUUCGCGCGCGGACUCGCCUCAAAGUCAUUGGCGGCGGUCGUGCCGGCCCCCUCGCGCAGCACAUUUGCGCUUCUCGGAGGCCCGGCGGAUCCGCGCUCCAGCAAGACCUUUCACGACUUGACCUCGGAUCAGGUAGGGAUACCCGCUGAACUUAAGCAUAUCAAUAAGCGGAGGA